rnacentral:rRNA from 1 species
UAGGGAAUCUUCCGCAAUGGGCGAAAGCCUGACGGAGCAACGCCGCGUGAGUGAUGAAGGUCUUCGGAUCGUAAAACUCUGUUAUUAGGGAAGAACAAAUGUGUAAGUAACUAUGCACGUCUUGACGGUACCUAAUCAGAAAGCCACGGCUAACUACGUGCCAGCAGCCGCGGUAAUACGUAGGUGGCAAGCGUUAUCCGGAAUUAUUGGGCGUAAAGCGCGCGUAGGCGGUUUUUUAAGUCUGAUGUGAAAGCCCACGGGUCAACCGUGGAGGGUCAUUGGAAACUGGAAAACUUGGGUGCAGAAGAGGAAAGUGGAAUUCCAUGUGUAGCGGUGAAAUGCGCAGAGAUAUGGAGGAACACCAGUGGCGAAGGCGACUUUCUGGUCUGUAACUGACGCUGAUGUGCGAAAGCGUGGGGAUCAAACAGG